rnacentral:lncRNA from 1 species
GAACCUGUUGACUGGCUGAAUGGGCUUGGUCAGCCAUAAACAGGACAUCUCUAUCACACUCAUUCUCCAAGGCCAAAGGGAUCAUCAUCAUGCAGAAGGAGAGAGGCUGAUUCUGAGAGCCAGAGGCCAGGAAUGGAAAUCAUGUCUGUUUCACAAAGUUGUUUAAAACCGUCUUGCAAGCCUACCUCUGUUUCAAUAAGGUAAUGGCAGAAUUGACUCAACUCUCAGAGCAGUGACUUUCCUAACUCCUGGCUAUGGUCGAGUUGCUUCAGUGUCGCCAGCUUUCCUGUUGCUUUCUCCUGGGCCAGCUCACCACUUCUCAAACUACACACUUUUGCAACAGCAGCAAGAUCUUCCUGACAUCUUCCUCAAGCCCAAGUUUUGGUUGUAGUUUAUCUUAUUUUACUUUAGUUUUGCCUUGGACCACGGAAUGGAUAUCUUUUCCAUCAGUGAACAGGCUGCAUCUUCCACUGUGGCUCACUGCAUGCUUGAAGGACAGCCAUUAGUCUGUAACACUGUGCAGUGUUGUCCUUCAGGUAGCUGCCACAAAGAUAACUCUAUUCUCUUCUCAGGCUAAGCUAUGGACUCUCCCCUUCUGAGCAGGCGGGGGCACCCUGGGUACCCCCCUUCUGACAUUUCAAGUCUUUGUGAGGCUAGGCACUUCCUCUCCCACUGAGGCCAAACAAGACAGCCCAAGCCGUGCCCUCAUAACCGAUUCCCACCAGUGGAACGUGAGCAGGAGUGACUUGUGCCAUUUCAGUGUUCUAAGAGAGAAAUGCUGGACGGGUGCAGGGGGAGAGGAAUCCGUAUCCACUGCAGUGAGAAUAGCAAUUUGUGAAAUCACCAUGGAAAUCAAUAUGGAGGUACCCCCACAGUCCCCCCCAAAAAAACCCUAAACAUAAAAUGGCUAUUUG